GACGAACGCUGGCGGCGUGCUUAACACAUGCAAGUCGAACGGAAAGGCCCUGCUUUUGUGGGGUGCUCGAGUGGCGAACGGGUGAGUAACACGUGAGUAACCUGCCCUUGACUUUGGGAUAACUUCAGGAAACUGGGGCUAAUACCGGAUAGGAGCUCCUGCUGCAUGGUGUGGGUUGGAAAGUUUCGGCGGUUGGGGAUGGACUCGCGGCUUAUCAGCUUGUUGGUGGGGUAGUGGCUUACCAAGGCUUUGACGGGUAGCCGGCCUGAGAGGGUGACCGGCGACAUUGGGACUGAGAUACGGCCCAGACGCCUACGGGAGGCAGCAGUGGGGAAUAGUGCACAAUGGGCGGAAGCCUGAUGCAGCAACGCCGCGUGCGGGAUGACGGCCUUCGGGUUGUAAACCGCUUUCGCCUGUGACGAAGCGGGAGUGACGGUAAUGGGUAAAGAAGCACCGGCUAACUACGUG
rnacentral:rRNA from 1 species